rnacentral:rRNA from 1 species
CGGUAACAGCUCAAAUUUGAAAGCUAGCUCUUUUAGGGUUCGCAUUGUAAUUUGUAGAAGAUGCUUCGGGUGUGGCUCCGGUCUAAGUUCCUUGGAACAGGAAGCCAAAGAGGGUGAGAGUCCCGU